GCCCUGGUGGUCUGGUGGUUAAGAUUUGGCACUCUCACUUCCAUGGCCCAGGUUCAUUUCCUGGUCAGGGAA
rnacentral:tRNA from 1 species